UACAGAGGUCUCAAGCGUUGUUCGGAUUCAUUGGGCGUAAAGGGUGCGUAGGUGGCGCCGUAAGUCGGGUGUGAAAUUUCGGAGCUUAACUCCGAAACUGCAUUCGAUACUGCGGUGCUUGAGGACUGAAGAGGAGACUGGAAUUUACGGUGUAGCAGUGAAAUGCGUAGAUAUCGUAAGGAAGACCAGUGGCGAAGGCGGGUCUCUGGACAGUUCCUGACACUGAGACACGAAGGCCAGGGGAGCAAACGGG
rnacentral:rRNA from 1 species